AAACGCGAAGCCGUAGCGAAAGCGAGUCUGAAUAGGGCGCUUAGUCAGAUGCUGCAGACCCGAAACGAAGUGAUCUAUCCAUGAGCAAGUUGAAGCUAGUGUAAGAACUAGUGGAGGACUGAACCCAUAGGCGUUGAAAAGCCCCGGGAUGACUUGUGGAUAGGGGUGAAAGGCCAAUCAAACUUCGUGAUAGCUGGUUCUCUCCGAAAUAUAUUUAGGUAUAGCGUUGUGUCGUAAUAUAAGGGGGUAGAGCACUGAAUGGGCUAGGGCAUACACCAAUGUACCAAACCCUAUCAAACUCCGAAUACCUUAUAUGUAAUCACAGCAGUCAGGCGGCGAGUGAUAAAAUCCGUCGUCAAGAGGGAAACAACCCAGACUACCAGCUAAGGUCCCUAAAUCUUACUUAAGUGGAAAACGAUGUGAAGUUACUUAAACAACCAGGAGGUUGGCUUAGAAGCAGCCAUCCUUUAAAGAAAGCGUAAUAGCUCACUGGUCUAGUGAUUUUGCGCGGAAAAUAUAACGGGGCUAAAGUAAGUACCGAAGCUGUAGACUUAGUUUACUAAGUGGUAGGAGAGCGUUCUAUUUGCGUCGAAGGUAUACCGGUAAGGAGUGCUGGAGCGAAUAGAAGUGAGCAUGCAGGCAUGAGUAGCGAUAAUUAAUGUGAGAAUCAUUAACGCCGUAAACCCAAGGUUUCCUACGCGAUGCUCGUCAUCGUAGGGUUAGUCGGGUCCUAAGUCGAGUCCGAAAGGGGUAGACGAUGGCAAAUUGGUUAAUAUUCCAAUACCAACAUUAGUGUGCGAUGGAAGGACGCUUAGGGCUAAGGGGGCUAGCGGAUGGAAGUGCUAGUCUAAGGUCGUAGGAGGUUAUACAGGAAAAUCCGUAUAACAAUACUCCGAGAACUGAAAGGCUUUUUGAAGUCUUCGGAUGGAUAGAAGAACCCCUGAUGCCGUCGAGCCAAGAAAAGUUUCUAAGUUUAGCUAAUGUUGCCCGUACCGUAAACCGACACAGGUGGGUGGGAUGAGUAUUCUAAGGCGCGUGGAAGAACUCUCUUUAAGGAACUCUGCAAAAUAGCACCGUAUCUUCGGUAUAAGGUGUGGUUAGCUUCGUACUAGGAUUUACUCCGAAAGCGAAGAAACUUACAACAAAGAGUCCCUCCCGACUGUUUACCAAAAACACAGCACUCUGCUAACUCGUAAGAGGAUGUAUAGGGUGUGACGCCUGCCCGGUGCUCGAAGGUUAAUUGAUGGGGUUAGCAUUAGCGAAGCUCUUGAUCGAAGCCCGAGUAAACGGCGGCCGUAACUAUAACGGUCCUAAGGUAGCGAAAUUCCUUGUCGGUUAAAUACCGACCUGCAUGAAUGGCGUAACGAGAUGGGAGCUGUCUCAAAGAGGGAUCCAGUGAAAUUGUAGUGGAGGUGAAAAUUCCUCCUACCCGCGGCAAGACGGAAAGACCCCGUGGACCUUUACUACAGCUUGACACUGCUACUUGGAUAAGAAUGUGCAGGAUAGGUGGGAGGCUUUGAGUAUAUGACGCCAGUUGUAUAGGAGCCAUUGUUGAGAUACCACUCUUUCUUAUUUGGGUAGCUAACCAGCUUGAGUUAUCCUCAAGUGGGACAAUGUCUGGUGGGUAGUUUGACUGGGGCGGUCGCCUCCCAAAUAAUAACGGAGGCUUACAAAGGUUGGCUCAGAACGGUUGGAAAUCGUUCGUAGAGUAUAAAGGUAUAAGCCAGCUUAACUGCAAGACAUACAAGUCAAGCAGAGACGAAAGUCGGUCUUAGUGAUCCGGUGGUUCUGUGUGGAAGGGCCAUCGCUCAAAGGAUAAAAGGUACCCCGGGGAUAACAGGCUGAUCUCCCCCAAGAGCUCACAUCGACGGGGAGGUUUGGCACCUCGAUGUCGGCUCAUCGCAUCCUGGGGCUGGAGCAGGUCCCAAGGGUAUGGCUGUUCGCCAUUUAAAGCGGUACGCGAGCUGGGUUCAGAACGUCGUGAGACAGUUCGGUCCCUAUCUGCCGUGGGCGUAAGAAGAUUGAAGAGAUUUGACCCUAGUACGAGAGGACCGGGUUGAACAAACCACUGGUGUAGCUGUUGUUCUGCCAAGAGCAUCGCAGCGUAGCUAAGUUUGGAAAGGAUAAACGCUGAAAGCAUCUAAGCGUGAAGCCAACUCUAAGAUGAAUCUUCUCUAAGCUCUCUAGAAGACUACUAGUUUGAUAGGCUGGGUGUGUAAUGGAUGAAAGUCCUUUAGCUGACCAGUACUAAUAGAGCGUUUGGCUUAUCUUUAAUAAAGCAU
rnacentral:rRNA from 1 species